UACGGAGGGGGCUAGCGUUGUUCGGAAUUACUGGGCGUAAAGCGCACGUAGGCGGCUUUGUAAGUUGAGAGGAUGAACCCGGGGCUCAACUCCGGAAUUGCCUUUAAGACUGCAUCGCUAGAAUUGUGGAGAGGUAAGUGGAAUUCCGAGUGUAGAGGUGAAAUUCGUAGAUAUUCGGAAGAACACCAGUGGCGAAGGCGACUUACUGGACACAUAUUGACGCUGAGGUGCGAAAGCGUGGGGAGCAAACAGG
rnacentral:rRNA from 1 species